rnacentral:lncRNA from 1 species
UUGUACAAUUUAUUUUUAGAUUAGAGCAAGCAAGCACAUAAUAUACAUUCAUUUUUGACACAAAAAAGAUUAAUUACUUUCUUCUUUACUUUAGCUCAUUGCCAGACAACAACGGUUGAACCUACAACUGGGAUGACGACAACCGCUGAACCUACAACAGAUCAGACAACUUUUCCAGCAGAAUUUCCAACAGGUAAACACAGAAAAAUAAAAGAUCUUACGUUGACUCCCCCUUUACAGAAGUGUAAAACAUUAAUAUCUUUUCUUUAAUUGAUGUUGUUGAUCCAGCUGCACCCUGUGGUGACUUCUUGUUUGGCAACUCUGGCACUUUCUACAGCCCCAACUAUCCGUACCCCUUCCAUAACAAUGAUUACUGUGUUUGGUACAUUAGACCAAGCAGAGAAAUUGUGCGUCUGGAUUUCUCUUAUGUAUCGUAAGUGUUGUGCAAGUUGAGUUGUGUGUGAUAGUAAACUAUUAACGUUACAUAGUGGGGUACUUAAGAGUAAUAACUGUAUUUUUUUUUCUUGUUUUCUUAGCAUUCGGUGUAGUUCUGAAAACAUUUGGGUCUAUGAUGGCUUCAGCACCGGAUCAAGACUUUUGGGAACAUUUUGCGACAACCACAUGACCAUCUUCUAUUCCACGGGUCGCUAUCUAACCGUAACAUUUACCAGUAAUAUCACUAUCAGCUACUCAGAUUUCCGUGGCAACUACAGAGUAGUGGAUGAGGGUUCCUGCCAACAAAACUGUGGCUAUCAGGUUGGAAACUGUUCUUGCUCUUCAUCUUGCAGAGACAGAGGAAACUGUUGUUCGGACUAUGAGGAUCAUUGCCACCCUGCUGAACCUACAGCAGGUAUGACGACAACCAUGGAACCUACAGAAGGCAUGUGGACAACCGCUGAACCUACAGAAGGCAUGACGACAACCAUGGAACCUACUAAAGGCAUGACAACAACCGCUGAACCUACAGAAGGCAUGACAACAACCGCUGAACCUACUGAAGGCAUGACAACAACCGCCGAACCUACAGCAGGCAUGACGACAACCGCUGAACCUACUGAAGGCAUGACGACAACCGCUGAACCUACAGAAGGCAUGACGACAACCGCUGAACCUACAGCACGCAUGACGACAACCGCUGAACCUACAGCACGCAUGACGACAACCGCUGAACCUACAGCACGCAUGACGACAACCGCUGAACCUACAACCGGCAUGAUGAUAAGCGUUGACCCUACAACAGGUAUGAAACAGUCAACAUAA